GACGAACCGUGCGAACGUUGUUCGGAAUCACUGGGCUUAAAGGGCGCGUAGGCGGGCCAUAAAGUCAGGGGUGAAAUCCUCCAGCUUAACUGGAGAACUGCCUUUGAUACUGAUGGUCUCGAGUAAGGUAGGGCAUGCGGAACUGAUGGUGGAGCGGUGAAAUGUGUUGAUAUCAUCAGGAACUCCGGUGGCGAAGGCGGCAUGCUGGACCUUCACUGACGCUGAGGCGCGAAAGCUAGGGGAGCGAACGGG
rnacentral:rRNA from 1 species